UUUUCUAGUGUAAACAUGAAAACAGUUGACAUUUUCAAGUAUAUUUAACAUAAAAAGCUUAUAUUAUUAAUUUAAACUUGUUUUUAACUUUGAAUUGUUAAGCCAAGAUAUGGUUUUUUAAAUAUAUAUAGGCAAUGACAUAUGUUGACAGAUUUGAUGAUGCGGUGGCAGCGGCUCAAAGAGCAGUACGGCUGGACUCAAGCAGCAAGGAAGUGAACAUGGUGGUUAGGAGGACACGGGCGGUGGCAAUGGCUCGAUCUAACGAGCCACUUACAGGUCCAAACUUGGUCAAUUUGAGAAAGCAAUCAAGGACUGGACUGCUGCCCUUAAUGUGCGCCCACCUUACAGGAAAGCCAGAUUAAGAAGAGUCAAUUGAUAUGCCAAGGUUAUGGCAAGCAAGACAAAGAUCUACAUUGUGCUCGAGUAUGUUGGCGAGGGCGAGUUUUUUGACAAAAUAAUAAGGC